rnacentral:piRNA from 1 species
UGAUUGACAGAGCUUUUUGGCUUUGAGGC